rnacentral:rRNA from 1 species
UACGUAGGGUCCGAGCGUUGUCCGGAAUUAUUGGGCGUAAAGGGCUCGUAGGCGGUUUGUCGCGUCGGGAGUGAAAACUCAGGGCUCAACCCUGAGCGUGCUUCCGAUACGGGCAGACUAGAGGUAUGCAGGGGAGAACGGAAUUCCUGGUGUAGCGGUGAAAUGCGCAGAUAUCAGGAAGAACACCCGUGGCUAAGGCGGUUCUCUAGUACGGUACUGACGCUGAGACGCGAAAGCGUGGGGAGCGAACAGG